GGAGCCUGAGCUUGCCCUAGUCCUGUCUCUGUUCAAGACACCAUUCCUGCGUUACCAGCUGCUUUCAAGGCCACUAUCAGGGCAGAUGAGCAAUCCACUGAGACUAAUCCCUAGGGCAAAGGUUUUAGGCUGUUUCAGAGAAGCAAAAGUUAAUGAAAGCAACUGACACAAGAAUAUGUGUGAAUAUUCACACUACAACAGUAAAUUAAUUG